UGGGGAAUCUUGCGCAAUGGGCGAAAGCCUGACGCAGCAACGCCGCGUGAGCGAAGAAGGCCUUCGGGUUGUAAAGCUCUGUCAGGAGGGACGAAGCCACUCGGGUGAACAGCCCAGAGGGUGACGGUACCUCCAGAGGAAGCCCCGGCUAACUACGUGCCAGCAGCCGCGGUCAUACGUAGGGGGCGAGCGUCGUCCGGAAUCAUUGGGCGUAAAGCGCGUGUAGGCGGCUUGGCAAGUCUGGUGUGAAAGCUCGAGGCUCAACCUCGAGUCUGCACCGGAAAAUGCCUUGCUAGAGUCCGGAAGAGGAGACUGGAAGUCCGGGUGUAGCGGUGAAAUGCGCAGAGAUCAGGAAGAACACCGGUGGCGAGGGCGGGUCUCUGGGACGGUACGGACGCUGAGACGCGAAAGCGUGGGGAGCAAACA
rnacentral:rRNA from 1 species